rnacentral:rRNA from 1 species
UAAGACAGAGGUGGCAAGCGUUGUUCGGAAUCACUGGGCUUAAAGGGCGCGUAGGUGGUAGUGCAAGUCUGAGGUGGAAUCCCAUGGCUUAACCAUGGAACUGCCUUGGAAACUGCAUUACUUGAGUCAGUGAGGGGAGGGUAGAAUUCCUGGUGUAGCGGUGAAAUGCGUAGAUAUCAGGAGGAAGGCCGGUGGCGAAGGCGGCCCUCUGGCGCUGAACUGACACUGAGGCGCGAAAGCGUGGGGAGCAAACAGGAUUAGAUACCCUGGUAGUCCACGCCCUAAACGGUGGGUACUAGGUGUAGGGCUCGUAAGGGUUCUGUGCCGAAGCGAAAGCAUUAAGUACCCCGCCUGGGGAGUACGGCCGCAAGGUUGAAACUUAAAUGAAUUGACGG